GUGACUGCAGGUGUGUUGCACACGUAUACACAUGUGGGUAUAUACAAGGGCUGACGUGGUUUCCUCCUUUAUCACCCUCAUCCUUAUCCAUCAGGAGCAUCCUCAUCCUUCAGAGGCAGAAGCUUCCACUGAAGCUGCAGCUCACCGUUCUGUACGGACAGGCUGGCCGGCAAGCCCCAGGGAUCUACUGGUCUCUGCAUCCCACAAAUCCAUGCUGAAGUACAUGGAUUUUAUGUGGAUGUUGGAGAUUCAAAUUUAGGUAAUUGCUCUUGCACAACAAGCACUUUGCCUAUUGAACCAUGUCCCCAGCCAAUUCCUUCUUUAUUUUAUAUUGGUAUUUUUUUGUUUGUCUAGUUGUUUUGUUUUCUUUUUUUUUUUUUGAAGGACUUUGUCUUAGUUAGGGUUGUUGUUGUUGAGAAGAGGCACCAUGACCAAGGCAACUCUUUUUUUUAAUUGGAUAUUUUAUUCAUUUACAUCUCAAAUGUUAUUCUCUUUCCCAGUUUCCCCUCUGCAAACUCCCUAUCCCAUCCUCCCC
rnacentral:lncRNA from 1 species